rnacentral:rRNA from 1 species
UCAAGCUAAUAAGAGCGCAAGGGGAAUGCCUUGGCAUCAGGAGCCGAAGAAGGACGCGACAAGCUGCGAAAAGCCACGGGGAGGAGCAAAUAUCCUUUGAUCCGUGGAUAUCCGAAUGGGGAAACCCGGCACGGCAAUACCGUGUCAACGUGCUAUGAAUAAAAUAGUAGUACGUGGGGAACCGCCUGAACUGAAACAUCUAAGUAGGGCGAGGAAAAGACAUCAACCGAGAUUCCGCUAGUAGUGGCGAGCGAACGCGGAGGAGGCCAAACCGAGGGUCUUUCGGGAUCUUCGGGGUUCGGACCUGCAUCAUGAUCAGAGGUAUCUAGUUGAACGGCGUGGGAAAGCCGACCACAGAGGGUGAGAGUCCCGUAAACGAAAGAGAAGACUGACAGCGGGUAUCCAGAGUACCGCCGGACACGUGAAACCCGGUGGGAAGACGGGUGGACCACCAUCCAAGCCUAAAUACUACCUGAUGACCGAUAGAGGAGCAGUACCGUGAGGGAAAGGUGAAAAGAACCCCGGGAGGGGAGUGAAAGAGCACCUGAAACCUUGUGCUUACAAGCAGUCAGAGCACGUUAAAGUGUGAUGGCGUACCUUUUGUAGAAUGGUCCGGCGAGUUAUAGUAACUGGCGAGCUUAAGCGAUUCAGUCGUGGAGGCGAAGGGAAACCGAGUGUUAAUAGCGCGUAUGAAGUCAGUUGCCAUAGACCUGAAACCGGGUGACCUAUCCAUGGGCAGGCUGAAGGUGAGGUAAAACUCACUGGAGGGCCGAACCGACGUCUGUUGCAAUAGCCGCGGAUGACCUGUGGAUAGCGGAGAAAUUCCAAUCGAACUCGGAGAUAGCUGGUUCUCCCCGAAAUAGCUUUAGGGCUAGCGUUGCAUUAGAUUACCGGAGGUAGAGCACUGAAUAGGCUAGGGGGCGAUGAGCUUACUGAACCUUAUCAAACUUCAAAUGCCGGCUAAUUGAUGUGCAGCAGUCAGACAGUGUGAGAUAAGUUUCAUUGUCGAGAGGGAAACAGCCCAGACCCACAGCUAAGGUCCCAAAUAUAUGCUAAGUGGAAAACGAUGUGGGGUUGCGAAAACAACCAGGACGUUGGCUUAGAGGCAGCCACUCAUUGAAAGAGUGCGUAAUAGCUCACUGGUCGAGUGACCCUGCGCGGAAGAUAUAACGGGGCUAAGCAUAUAACCGAAGCUUGGGAUGUCUUAGGACAUGGUAGGGGAGCGUCGUAUACGGGGUGAAGUACGAGCGAGAGCACGUGUGGACUGUAUACGAGUGAGAAUGCCGGAAUGAGUAGCGAGAAUUAUGUGGGAAUCAUAAUGGCCGAAAAUCUAAGGUUUCUUGGGGAAGGUUCGUCCGCCCAAGGUAAGUCGGGAGCUAAGGCGAGGCCUGACGGCGUAGUCGAUGCACACACGGUUGAAAUUCCGUGACCACCGAAAGAUUUAAGCGAGCUGACACAUAGAGAUAGCCGGACCCCGGCGUUGGUCGACCGGGGCGAAAGGGACCGAACAUCAGUAGGGAAGCCGGCGAUGCUCUGUGGCGAGAAAAGGCUCGAGGUACAUCUGAGGUGCCCGUACCGCAAACCGACACAGGUAGAUGAGGAGAGAAUCCUAAGGCCAGCGGGAGAAGGGUUGUUAAGGAACUCGGCAAAUUGACCCCGUAACUUCGGGAAAAGGGGAGCCUGCUACGGCAGGCCGCAGAGAAUAGGCCCAAGCGACUGUUUACCAAAAACACAGGUCUCUGCUAAAUCGAAAGAUGACGUAUAGGGGCUGACGCCUGCCCGGUGCCGGAAGGUUAAGAGGAGGGCUUAGCGCAAGCGAAGGUCUGAAUUGAAGCCCCGGUAAACGGCGGCCGUAACUAUAACGGUCCUAAGGUAGCGAAAUUCCUUGUCAGGUAAGUUCUGACCCGCACGAAUGGCGUAACGAUUUGGGCACUGUCUCAACAGCCCGCCCGGCGAAAUUGUUGUACUGGUGAAGAAGCCAGUUACCCGCAACUAGACGGAAAGACCCCAUGGAGCUUUACUGCAGCUUAAUACUGAAGAUUGGUAAUGCAUGUACAGGAUAGGUGGGAGCCUGAGAAGCAGGGGCGUCAGCUUCUGUGGAGGCAACCUUGGAAUACCACCCUUGUAUUGCUGGUUUUCUAACCUGCGGCCGUGAAUCCGGUCGGGGGACACUGUUAGGCGGGCAGUUUGACUGGGGCGGUCGCCUCCAAAAGAGUAACGGAGGCGCUCAAAGGUUGGCUCAGCACGGACGGAAAUCGUGCAUAGAGUGCAAACGCAGAAGCCAACUUGACUGCGAGACCGACGGGUCGAGCAGGUACGAAAGUAGGAGUUAGUGAUCCGGUGGUAUGUGAGUGGAAAUGCCAUCGCUCAACGGAUAAAAGCUACCCUGGGGAUAACAGGCUGAUCUCCCCCAAGCGUCCACAGCGACGGGGAGGUUUGGCACCUCGAUGUCGGCUCGUCACAUCCUGGGGCUGAAUUAGGUCCCAAGGGUUCGGCUGUUCGCCGAUUAAAGUGGCACGCGAGCUGGGUUCAGAACGUCGUGAGACAGUUCGGUCCCUAUCUGUUGCGGGCGCAGGAGAUUUGAAGGGAGCUGUCCCUAGUACGAGAGGACCAGGAUGGACAGACCUCUGGUGCACCAGUUGUCGUGCCAACGGCACAGCUGGGUAGCUACGUCUGGACGAGAUAAACGCUGAAGGCAUCUAAGCGUGAAACUCCCCCUAAGAUAAGAUCUCCCAUCCGAAAGGAGUAAGGGACGACGUGGACUAUGUCGUUGAUAGGCCGGAGGUGUAAGCACGGUAACGUGUUCAGCUGACCGGUACUAAUAACCCGAGGGCUUGACCU